GCCUCGGCGGUGUGGUGGACAGCACGCGUCCUCGGUAAGUAUGAAACGCGGGUUCGAUUCCCGGCCGAAGCC